GGCACAGAAACAUGGGUGAGCCCCAAGCCCUGCCAGCUUCUGGAACCUCUGGAAUGUUCUCCAACAGAACAAACAGCUCCGCACCUGAUGUUGAGUCUGAUAUCACUCAGCUGUGUUCCAGAGAUGGGAGUCCCACCAUGUUGCCCAGGCUGGUCUUGAACUACUGGGCUCCAAGUGAUCCACCUGCCUCAGCCUCCCAAAGUGCUGGGAUUAUAGGCAUGAGCCGCGGCACCUGGCUGUGAUGAACUGCUACAGUGAAUUUUACCAACUUGUUUGGAGACAUCAGAUGCCGUCAAUACUUUGUAAAUGUUGUGCAUGAGAGACACCUGUGACCUACUUCUUCUCACACCGGUGCUGGGUCCCACCCCUAGAAAUUCUGGUUCUAUUGGUCUGGGGUGUGACAGUGGGUGGUUUAAAGCUCCCAGGUGAUUCUAAUUUGUAGCCAAGGCCAAGAACCUCUGCCCUGGAGCCUGCUCCUCAAAGUCUGCUCCCGAGAGUCCUCGGAGGGCAGAGAGCAGGCAGUCAAGGAAGGCUUCCUGGAGGAGGAGUGAAGAGGUGGCAGAUAGCAUUCCAAGCAGAGGGCAGGGCUUAAGAGAAAGCACAGAACAAAAAGCACCAUCAAGGGGCUCAAGAGAAGGCACAGAACAAAAAGCAGCAUCAAGGGGCAGGAAAGAACAAGCUUGAUGUUUCUGAAUGUCGUAGCUGGGAUACUGUGUGUGCAAAUUGGAGAAGACCCAGCCUAAACAGGCUUGUGUGCAAAGGGAGUUUACUGGUGUCAGCAUCAGCCCCAUCUGGGAGCUGGUUUGAAAGGCAGGACCUCAGGCUCCUCCCAGGCCCCUUGAAUCGGAAUCCGCAUUUUAACAAGAUUCCUGGGUCUGCUCACUCAUGUUUGAGAAGCACGGCUUUAGAAGAUGAGAAAUGGAAGCUAAAAUUUAAGCAUGUCU